AUUGAACGCUGGCGGCAGGCUUAACACAUGCAAGUCGAGCGGGGGAAGGUAGCUUGCUACCGGACCUAGCGGCGGACGGGUGAGUAAUGCUUAGGAAUCUGCCUAUUAGUGGGGGACAACAUCUCGAAAGGGAUGCUAAUACCGCAUACGUCCUACGGGAGAAAGCAGGGGAUCUUCGGACCUUGCGCUAAUAGAUGAGCCUAAGUCGGAUUAGCUAGUUGGUGGGGUAAAGGCCUACCAAGGCGACGAUCUGUAGCGGGUCUAAGAGGAUGAUCCGCCACACUGGGACUGAGACACGGCCCAGACUCCUACGGGAGGCAGCAGUGGGGAAUAUUGGACAAUGGGGGGAACCCUGAUCCAGCCAUGCCGCGUGUGUGAAGAAGGCCUUAUGGUUGUAAAGCACUUUAAGCGAGGAGGAGGCUACUCUAGUUAAUACCUAGGGAUAGUGGACGUUACUCGCAGAAUAAGCACCGGCUAACUCUGUGCCAGCAGCCGCGGUAAUACAGAGGGUGCGAGCGUUAAUCGGAUUUACUGGGCGUAAAGCGUGCGUAGGCGGCUUAUUAAGUCGGAUGUGAAAUCCCCGAGCUUAACUUGGGAAUUGCAUUCGAUACUGGUGAGCUAGAGUAUGGGAGA
rnacentral:rRNA from 1 species